rnacentral:rRNA from 1 species
UACAUAGGGUGCAAGCGUUGUCCGGAUUUACUGGGCGUAAAGAGCGUGUAGGUGGGAAUAUAAGUCAAACUUUAAAUCCUGAGGCUUAACCUCAGUUCGGGUUUGAUACUGUAUUUCUUGAGAUUGGGAGAGGAAAGCGGAACUAACAGUGUAGCGGUGAAAUGCGUAGAUAUUGUUAGGAACACCCGUGGCGAAGGCGGCUUUCUGGACCAAUUCUGACACUGAGACGCGAGAGCGUGGGGAUCAAACAGG